rnacentral:rRNA from 1 species
AACGAACGCUGGCGGCAUGCCUAACACAUGCAAGUCGAACGAGACCUUCGGGUCUAGUGGCGCACGGGUGCGUAACGCGUGGGAACCUGCCCUUAGGUUCGGAAUAACUCCCCGAAAGGGGUUCUAAUACCGGAUAAUGUCUUCGGACCAAAGAUUUAUCGCCUUUGGAUGGGCCCGCGUUGGAUUAGCUAGUUGGUAGGGUAAAAGCCUACCAAGGCGACGAUCCAUAGCUGGUCUGAGAGGAUGAUCAGCCACACUGGGACUGAGACACGGCCCAGACUCCUACGGGAGGCAGCAGUGGGGAAUAUUGGACAAUGGGCGAAAGCCUGAUCCAGCAAUGCCGCGUGAGUGAUGAAGGCCUUAGGGUUGUAAAGCUCUUUUAACCGGGAUGAUAAUGACAGUACCGGGAGAAUAAGCUCCGGCUAACUCCGUG